AAUUGAUGGUGCGGGCAUUUUUGAAUUAACAUUUUGAAAUGUUCCCAUGGCUUAUAAAAAAAUUCUCCCUCCAUCUGCCUAAAGACAACAAUCUCUCGUCUAAGCU
rfam:Gossypium raimondii Chr04_contig_375, whole genome shotgun sequence.